AGAUUGAACGCUGGCGGCAUGCCUUACACAUGCAAGUCGAACGGCAGCACGGGAGCAAUCCUGGUGGCGAGUGGCGAACGGGUGAGUAAUACAUCGGAACGUGCCCAAUCGUGGGGGAUAACGCAGCGAAAGCUGUGCUAAUACCGCAUAAGAUCUACGGAUGAAAGCAGGGGAUCGCAAGACCUUGCGCGAAUGGAGCGGCCGAUGGCAGAUUAGGUAGUUGGUGAGGUAAAGGCUCACCAAGCCUUCGAUCUGUAGCUGGUCUGAGAGACGACCAGCCA
rnacentral:rRNA from 1 species